AGGUAUUUGUUCUUGAAGAUCAUGUCGUUUCUCUCAGUCCACAACUCCCAAACCAUGAGCUGGAGCAUGGAUUAGAUGCCCUUUCUUUCUGGAGCUGGUCCUUGGCUACCAAUCUUGCUCUAGAUCGCCAUGCUAUUGUCUUCGCCUUCCCAACUGGUAGGAGCCAGCGACUGACAACGUCUCCAGGUUGAGACAGAGCACCAAAUCUCCUUGGCGACGAUGCACCCCCAGAAUAGGUGGAAAGACCUUUCCAAAUUACGGAUGCAUAGAGGGUAGAAGUAGCAAUUAUCCCAGCCGACACGCUGAAGCCGAUCAGCACACCGUAUUCUGUCGUGGAGCAUUAGCUAGACGAAGGAUUUGCAUCGUGGUGGCGCCCACGCCUUCCAAAUCAUAGCCGGGAAAGGGUGAGGGGCGAUGCUCUAAUCAAGUUCCAAAGCGCAAGGAAUUCUUCAACGAAUGGUUGCGACAGGUUGCGGUGACAUCCAUGAAGUCAACCCCCCCUCCUUCCUCGCGUCGCCCCGUAGGGGCGACUCGGGGGCAAUCUAGAUCCCGUUCGCCGCCACCCCCUUCCUCCGCUUCUCCCCUUGCCGCCGCCGGAGGCAGCCGUCGGCAACCACGGGCGGACGCCGAUGAGGGUGGCGGCAAGGUCUUCGGUCGCGUUUCCUCCCUGGGAACGGACCUAGGGUUCCAGGCGGCGGCCUUGGUGGCGUGGGCGGCGCCGUCCCAGCGGCGGGCGGCCGGUGCCGGAGUUGGGGCCGCCUCCCCUCGGCUGCGUUGGUGGCGAGGCGGCAGUGGUCUGGGGCGUCGGGUGUUGGGUCCCCCGCGUCCCUCUUCGCCAGAUCUGAAGACGGUGUCCCGUCGCUUGCUACAGCCUCCUCUAUGUCAGGUUCGACCCGAUCUGGUUGUUGGCUGCGUGGAUGUGGAGUGGGUGCUCUGGAUCAGGGUAACCCCUUGGCCUCCGGCGGCGGCGACGGCCACCUCCUCGGCGGCGCUUCGAGCGCUGCUCUCCUUCCUGAAGGCGGCGUUGAGGUUCACCUCUCCCUCCUCCCCCUUCCCCUGCAUCCGGGUGAGCCCACAACUUUGGUUUGGGCGGUGGUGGCGGCAUGGCGGCGUCGUUACCUUCUUGAAGGCACCAUUUUGGGUCUGUGGGGAGGCGGGCAGGCUGUUGCGAGCUUCGGGAGCUCCCGGUGGCGGCGGCUUCUCCUUCCGGUGGUGACCCUUCGCCAUGGAUGACCGGUUCCCUCCUAUGGCCAUCGUGCUCUCCCCCAUGUGGUUCUGUCUGCCCGGCGGAUCGACGCCCACGGCCUGGACAAGAGGGGAUAGUGGUCCCCUCUUCGGCAACAUGGACGCGACGGUGGCUGAGUUGGUGGCCGUGGCGAGCUCUGGUUCCUCAUGAUGGCUGUGUUGCUCAAAUCAGUGUCGUGUCUUCUUGGGACACCUCUGGUCCUUGCCUUGCAUCAACGACAUGCUUCAAUUGUGGGCUGCUGCUUGUGUUCGAUGUGCUUGCUGGAGUGGUCGCGCCCUUUGCCUUCCGACGGCCUGACAUCUAUGGAGAGCUUGCUCUCGGGGAGCAGUUUCUCCUUGUCGACGACAUAGCAUCACUCAAGCCUGUGCAUGAAGAGUUGGCCCCCGUCUGUUGGUGAUGGCUUUCAAUCUUGUUGGCUUUGGGUGCAGGGCGAUCUCUUCUGGUGGCGCGAUUCCCUCAAGAACUUAAAUCUUCAAGUUGUAGCCUUUUAUUUUAUCGUUGCACUUGUGCUUUCCUUUAGCUCCUUGUAUCGGCCGCUGCAGGGUUGCAUUCCUGCUUUAUUUUCUUUCCUUGUUGCUUGGUCUGUUUCCGUUGUAAUGCUAGCCGGUUGAUGGCUUUGUUAAUUCAAAGCCGGGCUAUGCUUGAGCCUUUCUUGGGCUCGGGUUGUGUCUUUUCUCUAAAAAAAGGUUGCGGUGACAAGUGUCCUUUACACA